AGUUCAGAUUGUAGGCUGAAACUCGCCUAUAUGAAGUCGGAAUUGCUAGUAAUCGCGGAUCAGCAUGCCGCGGUGAAUACGUUCCCGGGCCUUGUACACACCGCCCGUCACACCAUGAGAGUCGAUAACACCCGAAGCCUGUAGUCUAACAGCAAUGAGGACGCAGUCGAAGGUGGGAUUGAUAAUUAGGGUGAAGUCGUAACAAGGUAGC
rnacentral:rRNA from 1 species